UCCGGUUGAUCUGCGGAGUGCUACCGCUAUUGGAGUUCGAUUAAGCCAUGCGAGUCGAGAGUCUUAGUGGACUCGGCGUACCGCUCAGUAACACGUGGGUAACCUGCCCUAUGCUGGGGAAUAACCUCGGAGAAACUGAGAAUAAUGCCCCAUAGUCCACAAUGCCUGGAACGGUUUGUGGAUUAAAGCUCCGGCGGCAUAGGAUGGGCCUGCGGCGUAUCAGGUUGUAGGGGGUGUAACGUACCCUCUAGCCAUCAACGCGUACGGGUGUUGGGAGACAUAGCCCGGAGAUGGAUUCUGAGACACGAAUCCAGACCCUACGGGGUGCAGCAGGCGCGAAAACUUGGCAAUGCGAGCAAUCGUGAACAGUGAACUCCAAGUGGCUGGGGUAGACCCAGUUUUUCUUGACUCUCAAAGGUCUUGGAUAGGGUGGUACGACGGCAGCGCGGGUAUCCGGGCCUCAGUGUAUGAUUAUUGGCCUAACUCGUACCGUUGGAA
rnacentral:rRNA from 1 species